AGAAUCAACGCUGGCGGCGUGCCUAACACAUGCAAGUCGAACGCGAAAGCCCCGAAAGGGGUAAGUAGAGUGGCAAACGGGUGAGUAACACGUGGGUGACCUGCCUUCGAGCGGGGGAUAACGUCCCGAAAGGGACGCUAAUACCGCAUAACAUCCUGCCUUUGAAGAGGCGGAGAUCAAAGCUGGGGAUCGCAAGACCCGGCACUUGAAGAGGGGCCCGCGUCUGAUUAGCUAGUUGGUGGGUAAUGGCCUACCAAGGCAACGAUCAGUA
rnacentral:rRNA from 1 species